AGCUACAAUAUCGUAUAUUAAAAUUGUUGCAGUUAAAAAGCUAGUAGUUGGAUUUCUGGCUGGGCAUGUGGGUCCGCUUUUACGAGUGUGAAUCAUAUAUGUCUGGCCAUCCUUUUGGAGAGCCAUAGUGGCAUUAAGUUGUUGGUAUGGGGAUCCCAAUCAUUUACUGUGAAGAAAUUAGAGUGUGCAAAGCAGGCUUACACCGUUUAAUAUAUUAGCAUGAAAUAAUACCAUAGGACUAGAUUACUAUUUUGUUGGUUGGCGCACAAUAGUAAUGAUUAACAAGGACAGUUAGGGGUAUUGGUAUUCCAUUGUCAGAUGUGAUUUUUUUUUGAAAGACAAACUACUGCAAAAGCAUUUACCAAAGAUCUUUUCA
rnacentral:rRNA from 1 species